rnacentral:rRNA from 1 species
AUUGAACGCUGGCGGCAUGCUUUACACAUACAAGUCGAACGGCAGCAUGACCAAGCUUGCUUGGUUGAUGGCGAGUGGCGAACGGGUGAGUAACACAUCGGAACGUGCCCUGUAGUGGGGGAUAACCUACCGAAAGGUAGGCUAAUACCGCAUACGACCUGAGGGGAAAAGUGGGGGACCGCAAGGCCUCACGCUAUAGGAGCGGCCGAUGGAAGAUUAGAUAGUUGGUGAGGUACAGUCACACCAAGGCGACGGCCUUUAGCGGGUCUGAGAGGACGAGCCGCCACACGGGGACUGAGACAGGGCCCAGACUCCUACGGGAGGCAGCGGUGGGGAAUUUUGGACAAUGGGGGCAACCCUGAUCCAGGAAAGCAGCGUGAGUGAAGAAGGCGUUCGGGUGGUAAAGCUCUUUUGUUUGGGAAGAAAAAUCUGAUGUUAAUACCACUGGAUGCUGACGGUACCAAAAGAAUAAGCACCGGCUAACUACGUGCCAGCCGCCGCCGUAA